UACGGAGGAUGCAAGCGUUAUCCGGAAUGAUUGGGCGUAAAGCGUCCGCAGGUGGCGAUGUAAGUCUGCUGUUAAAGAGUGAGGCUCAACCUCAUAAGAGCAGUGGAAACUACAUAGCUAGAGUGCGGUAGGGGCAGAGGGAAUUCCUGGUGUAGCGGUGAAAUGCGUAGAGAUCAGGAAGAACACCGGUGGCGAAAGCGCUCUGCUAGGCCGCAACUGACACUGAGGGACGAAAGCUAGGGUAGCAAACGGG
rnacentral:rRNA from 1 species